ACAAGGAACCUCCUUGCCAAAAGAUUUCUAAGAAUUUUGUGGAGAGUAAGCCAGUCACAGCAACGACUGGGGAAAAUAUCACUCUGCAAUGCAUCACAAAGUUUAAAUUACAAGAGAGUGAUAUUGUGGAGUGGAGUAAAGGCAAUGAUGAAAUCUUCACUGUGACGGAGAAUAAACAACGAAUACAAAACAAAGCGUAUGAACAUCGACUCUGUCUUUCCUUUCCUGGAGAACUUGGUAGAAAUGUUGCCUCGAUCAACAUUUCACAAGUGAAGGAAACAGAUGACGGAAUUUACUGCUGCUGCAUUAGAUCAGCAGAGGUACAGUGCAUCAACCAGACUCUUGUUGUGAGGAACAAAUCUUUAACAACCCCAGAUCCACUUCACCAAGCAGGAGUAUCAAAUAAUAACUCUUCA